rnacentral:lncRNA from 1 species
CUAAUGUGAUUCAUGCCUGAUUACAAUCAAGUUAAUGAUCAAAUUCUCAGUCUCAUUUCUUCCCUUUGGAAUGUGCAAAAGGCUCUUUUGUGUCUUUCUGCAACUAGGGCAGAAACUGUCUUGUACAAUGAAAAUAAAAUGAGAAAUUACGUGGGUAGAAGUGUGAACGACUUGAAAUCUAUACAUUUUUUUUCCAAAACGGAAAAUCUAUAUACAUAUAUGGAACAUCUGGAAUUGUUCAUCUUGUAGCUCUUCAAACGAGGUUGGGCUCAACUUCUGGGAGGCACUGCUUCUCGAAGACCUGAAAUGGGCACUGCUUCCCGAAGACCUGAAAUUGUCUGCAGAUUCUCCGACUUUUGCCGGCUAUCAAAGUGAGAGUUAGUCAUCACUGGAGCAAAUUUAACCCUGAAAAUAUAACUUGAUGCUAAGUUAAGAUGUCAUCCAGAAGACUUGAGGAAGCUAGGGAAACACUAAUUUACUUGCUUGCUCAUAUAUACUCCACGAUUUGCAUUGUCCAAACAUAUAUAUGAAAUCAUCAUUUUCAUUACUAGCAUGCACGCGUAUGGUUGUUGAACAAAUAAUAAUUAACCGUAUUGACAUAUACAUUGAUAUAAAAUAACAUGUAUAGCUGACACAUUGAAGAAAACCAGUUAAAAUUUGAUUGAUUUCCUUUCCAUGCUGAUACUAUGUAUAUCGAGAGCAGAUCAUUGGGGGGAAACCAUAUAUUAAGAAAAAACUAUGAACAUCAUCAAGCGCCAUUGGAGAGAAAACUGAUAGCUUAAAAGAGAAGAUAAACAGCAAUGAAACUAACUAGGAGACGAGAGGGAGAGGGAGAGGGAGAGGGUUCGAUAUGCUUGGAUCCGUGCACGCCAUCCAUCGCAGGCAACCUUAUUGCAAAAGGUGUUGCUCUGGAUGAGUGGCAUACAGGGAGCCAGGCACAUCAUAUCAUAUCCCAGCAGUUAAGCUAGCUUCAUCACCUUUGCAAUGUUGCCAUUGCUAUCACAUUCUCGAGGAACCGAGCUAGCAGUAGCUAGUAGCUAGUACACGGAGACUGCAUUCAUGCUCCAUUUCCCAUUGAAAGAUAUGGCGAUUGGUGAUGCAUGUGCUGUCACUAGCUUAGCUGAGAUGCAUGAUAUAUUGUAUGAGGAAUGCAUGCGUAUGUGUGGACUGCAAAGUGGGAGUGGGGAAGAUAGCUGAUGGGGAG